rnacentral:rRNA from 1 species
ACUCCUACGGGAGGCAGCAGUGGGAAUAUUGCACAAUGGGGCAGCCAGCUGAUGCCAGCCAUGCCGCGUGAUGUAGCAAGAAUGGGCCUUCGGGUUGAUGAAGCACUUUUCAGUAAGGAGGAAAGGUUAGUAGUUAAUACCUGCUAGCUGUGACGUUACUUACAGAAGAAGCACCGGCUAACUCCGUGCCAGCAGCCGCGGUAAUACGGAGGGUGCGAGCGUUAAUCGGAAUUACUGGGCGUAAAGCGUACGCAGGCGGUUUGUUAAGCGAGAUGUGAAAGCCCCGGGCUCAAGCCUGGAACUGGCAUUUCGAACUGGCAAAUCUAGAGUGAUGAUAG